rnacentral:rRNA from 1 species
AACGAACGCUGGCGGCAGGCUUAACACAUGCAAGUCGAGCGCCCCGCAAGGGGAGCGGCAGACGGGUGAGUAACGCGUGGGAAUCUACCCAUCUCUACGGAAUAACGCAUGGAAACGUGUGCUAAUACCGUAUACGUCCUUCGGGAGAAAGAUUUAUCGGAGAUGGAUGAGCCCGCGUUGGAUUAGCUAGUUGGUGGGGUAAAGGCCUACCAAGGCGACGAUCCAUAGCUGGUCUGAGAGGAUGAUCAGCCACACUGGGACUGAGACACGGCCCAGUCUCCUACGGGAGGCAGUGGUGGGGAAUAUUGGACAAUGGGCGCGAGCCUGGUCCAGCCAUGCCGCGUGAGUGAUGAAGGCCCUAGGGUUGUAAAGCUCUUUCACCGGUGAAGAUAAUGACGGUAACCGGAGAAGAAGCCCCGGCUAACUUCGUGCCAGCCGCCGCGGUAAUAC